AUGGUUCACUAUUCACUUGACCCAGAAAACCCCACAAAAUCAUGCAAGUCAAGAGAUUCAAAUUUUCAUGUUCACUUCAAGAACACUGGUGAAACUGCCCAGGCCAUCAAGGGUAUGCAUAUACGAAAAGCCACCAAGUAUCUGAAAGAUGUCACUUUAAAGAAACAAUGUGUACCAUUCCGACGUUACAAUGGUGGAGUUGGUAGGUGUGCCCAGGCCAAACAGUGGGGCCAAAAAGAGUGCUGAAUUUUUGCUGCACAUGCUUAAAAAUGCAGAGAGUAAUGCUGAACUUAAGGGUUUGGAUGUAGAUUCUCUGGUCAUUGAGCGUAUCCAGGUGAACAAAGCACCCAAGAUGCGUCACCGAACUUACAGAAGUCAUGGUCGGAUUAAUCCAUACAUGAGCUCCCCCUGCCACAUCGAGAUGAUCCUCACUGAAAAGGAACAAAUUGUUCCAAAACCAGAGGAGGAGGUUGCACAGAAGAAAAAGAUAUCCCAGAAGAAACUGAAGAAACAAAAACUUAUGGCACAGGAGUAGAUGUAACAAAAUAAAUGAAAAUAAUAG